GAUGAACGCUGGCGGUGUGCCUAAUACAUGCAAGUCGAGCGAACAGACGAGGCGCUUGCUCCUCUGACGUUAGCGGCGGACGGGUGAGUAACACGUGGAUAACCUACCUAUAAGACUGGGAUAACUUCGGGAAACCGGAGCUAAUACCGGAUAAUAUAUUGAACCGCAUGGUUCAAUAGUGAAAGACGGUUUUGCUGUCACUUAUAGAUGGAUCCGCGCCGCAUUAGCUAGUUGGUAAGGUAACGGCUUACCAAGGCAACGAUGCGUAGCCGACCUGAGAGGGUGAUCGGCCACACUGGAACUGAGACACGGUCCAGACUCCUACGGGAGGCAGCAGUAGGGAAUCUUCCGCAAAGGGCGAAAGCCUGACGGAGCCACGCCGCGUGAGUGAUGAAGGUCUUCGGAUCGUAAAACUCUGUUAUUAGGGAAGAACAAAUGUGUAAGUAACUAUGCACGUCUUGACGGUACCUAAUCAGAAAGCCACGGCUAACUACGUG
rnacentral:rRNA from 1 species